CCAACCGGUGGGAAUCUUGGGUCCAACAAAGCCACCUUGCCUACUGGUGAGCCCGAUAUACAGAGAAGACAACCAAACUUGAUGGCCUUCUCAAGCUAUCCAGGCCACCGCUGGACUUCCUUGAACGAACAGACUUUGAAGCCAGUUUUCUGUUUAUUGCUACCCAAAAGCAUCGUUUAUUCUGGCAGCUAGGAAGUGCUAAUUCUGGCUAGACCACUCUUCUCCAGUUGAGGGAAAAGGGAGAGCCUGGACAUCAGAGUACAAGAGGGAGGCCUCAGGCUGCAGAGAGUACCCGGACGCAAGAGAAAUACUGGAGAUACCAGGGCAAGCACCGGAGAGUGCAGCGGUCAGGCCAAACUCCUUCCUAGCUGCCUGACCAUCUUCCGUGCCGGACAAUCACUUCAGUCCCUUUUGCUCGCACAGCCACGGGCGGAACGCUUCAACCCUUCCCUGAGCCGCCUCCGGAGGAGAGUCCCGGACACUUCCGGUGGCAGUUUUCGGUGCACAGCGGAGCCAAUCCGGGGCCUGGAGGCCCUGAGCACUGGUCUCCGAUAUCAGCUCUCUGACUCCAUUUCCCAGGCUGCACCGAGAGCAUCUCCCUGUUUAAGCAGGCCAAUCGGCGGCCGGCGGAGACCGGCGCUGCGUUUAAACUCUUGUUGGGGUCCAGGCUGAAUUUUUCGCCCUCCAGGCCAAAGGCGACGGCAGAGGAAGUAGAUAUCAGACAAAUGCAUGCAGGUAUGGAUCAGAGGAAGGCUUCCUGGAACUUCCAAGUGAUGGCCAGGCCUGGCGCGACAAGUCUGUAAAACUCCAGGCAAGAGGAUUGAAAGUUCGAGACCUGGCAAUAAAGGUGAUCAAAUACCA